rnacentral:rRNA from 1 species
UGGGGAAUAUUGGACAAUGGGCGCAAGCCUGAUCCAGCCAUGUCGCGUGCAGGAUGACGGUCCUAUGGAUUGUAAAAUUCUUUUCACCGGGGACGAUAAUGACGGUACCCGGAGAAGAAGCCCCGGCUAACUUCGUGCCAGCAGCCGCGGUAAUACGAAGGGGGCUAGCGUUGCUCGGAAUUACUGGGCGUAAAGGGAGCGUAGGCGGAUAGUUCAGUCAGAGGUGAAAGCCCAGGGCUCAACCUUGGAACUGCCUUUGAUACUGGCUAUCUUGAGUUUGGGAGAGGUAUGUGGAACUCCGAGUGUAGAGGUGAAAUUCGUAGAUAUUCGGAAGAACACCUGAGGCGAAGGCGGGUUGCUGGGCUGAUACUGACGCUCAGGGACGAAAGCGUGGGGAGCAAACAGGAUUAGAUACCCCCGUAGUCCCUGAGCGGGCUGGCAAGGCGCAU